rnacentral:rRNA from 1 species
CCCUUAGAUGUUCUGGGCCGCACGCGCGCUACACUGAUGCAUUCAACGAGUCUAAAACCUGGUCUGAUAGGGCUGGGUAAUCUUUUGAAAGUGCAUCGUGAUUGGGAUAGAUGAUUGCAAUUCUUCAUCUUCAACGAGGAAUGCCUAGUAAACGCAAGUCAUCAGCUUGCAUUGAUUACGUCCCUGCCCUUUGUACACACCGCCCGUCGCUCCUACCGAUUGAAUGAUCCGAUGAAUACCAUGGAUUGAGAGUACAAAUGGGUUCGCUCAUUUCUGCUGCUCGAGAAGUGGAGUAAAUCUUAUCAUUUAGAGGAAGGAGAAGUCGUAACA